CGUAGGCGGGUGUUUAAGUCAGAGGUCAAAUCCCAGGGCUCAACCCUGGAACUGCCUUUGAUACUGGACACCUAGAGUGCGGGAGAGGUGAGUGGAACUCCGAGUGUAGAGGUGAAAUUCGUAGAUAUUCGGAAGAACACCAGUGGCGAAGGCGACUCACUGGCCCGUUACUGACGCUGAGGCGCGAAAGCGUGGGGAGCAAACAGGAUUAGAUACCCUGGUAGUCCACGCCGUAAACGAUGAGUGCUAGUUGUCGGCAAGCAUGCUUGUCGGUGACGCAGCUAACGCAUUAAGCACUCCGCCUGGGGAGUACCGGUCGCAAGAUUAAAA
rnacentral:rRNA from 1 species